AAGGCAAUAAAUAGGCCAUAGUAGCGAAGUAAUUACAAUUUAGCAAAUUAACACUGGCGUGAGAGAUGAGCAGAUUUUGAUGUGCAAGUAGAGAUACUGGUGUGCAAAAGAGCAGAAAAGUGAUGGUGUCAUGACGUCUGAUGAGUUGACACAUGCAGGGCAAGGGAAGAAUUAUUUCAUUAUUAAUGGACCGCCCAGAAAUGUGUCACUUGUUCAUCCCACGGUUGUGUUCUCAGUCAUCAUGGAACUGUUGUGCCUUUUAUGCACUAGUCAAUUAUGAUUGCAUUUCAUAUCUUGGCUAGAAGACAACGCCUUCGCAGACAUCGAAUGUUAGCCAUCCUACUAUGUCAGGUCCAUCUGCUGGAGGGAAUCGACAGAAAAGUCUCUGGUUGCGUUCCUAGUGGAUACAUCAGGCAUACCCAUGUUGUCGCAUAGAAUAGGUGUUUCGGAGGUUGUCGGUAUUCUUCGUCCUAGGCUAAGUACAUUUCCAGCUGCAGACUGAAGAGGCCUCGUAUGAGAUUUGCUCCUUCUGUGGCAAUGUUUUAGAGUUUAACCAUUUCUAGUCGUGUAGCCAACGCUGUAUGGUCUUAGAAAUUCAACCAUGUACAACCUUAGCUUACACCGUGGUCUAGUGUGAAUUGCGUCACGGUGGCUUUUAUACUUGGGUAGAAAAGGGGCCGUCUCAUCAUGUUUGUGCUCACCUGGGCGUGGCUACUGACUGUGCAUAAAUUACCAUAAAACAACCAAUUCUGAUUUAGAAGACUAAAUCUCAUUGUUAGCUUUUCAAAAGUAUUCUUAAACUUAUUCAUUCAUCUUAUACAACAUUCAGAUGUAAAGCUGACAGCUGGGAAAUUUACACUUUAAGAGAUAGAGUUAUGUGUGUUUCCUGUCCUUCACAUGAGCACCAAAUUAAACACACUCCUCAUGACUGUCCCUUAAGUGUCCACGGACCAUUCCCACACUCUCAAAAAUAUAAAUAUUGUUUAAUUCUCCCAUUUUGGGGAUCAGGAGUUUUUUAUUUACAUUUGCUUCUACUUACACUUGUAUGUUGACUUCUCCAUAUUAAUGUUGGUUUUAAGUUUUGGCUGACUUUGCUAAGCGGAUCACCAUCGCAAAUUUAAUUAUGGGGCUAAUUGUACAUUCACAAACUCGAAUUUACAAUUGUAAGUGAAACUCGGCAAAAACAGAGGUGAUUAUGAAAUUAAAUAUUUCGUCAGAACAUGUAUUAUGCUGUGAAGAUCCCCACAAUGCAUUUCAAAUGUAAGGCAUUGAAAGCAUUCUAUAUUGGCAGUCUGUAAAUGUAUUUACAAAAUUCAACAUGGCUGUCUAUUCAGAUACCUUAGGAAGGUUGUGUAAAUACAGAGAGAAGAGUAAGAUUAGAGUAAAAUAUACAUACUUGUAGCACAUUCAUAU